GCCAGCAUGGCGUAGUGGUUUGAGCAUUGAACUAUGACCCUGGAGACCAAGGUUCAAAUCCUUGCUCAGCCU